GGGUGCGAUCAUACCAGCACUAAUGCACCGGAUCCCAUCAGAACUCCGAAGUUAAACGUGCUUGGGCGAGAGUAGUACUAAGAUGGGUGACCUCUUGGGAAGUUCUCGUGUUGCACCCU
rfam:Ricinus communis cultivar Hale ctg_1100012355280, whole genome shotgun sequence.